ACCCAGGGCUAUACAUAUGGCAACUGCACACACAGUCCUACUUGCAGAUGGGGCUUAGGCUAAAUGCUAGGCUUUGUGGCAUUUCUGUGCUAAUCUCUGAAGGCUUUUGGAUACACCCCUGAGGCAGUGCACUUCUAGAACCCCUGCUUGGCCAGACAGAAGUUCGGCUUCCCUGGGGUUAAAUCCCAAGAAGAUUUCAGUGGUAGUUAAGUUGGAUGUAGGCAGGUGGAAGUGUACAGCACUGCAAAAUGUAACUCCAUUGCCUCUUGGUUUUACUAAUGCCUCAAAGGAGGGCUGGCUCAUUCUAAGUGCAGUGCAAUAUCUAAGUAGAAAAAGAGAUGUUUGGAAAAAUCAUUCAUUAUAUUUUUCAGAAUAAAGCAAUCACAUCUUCCUUAGCAGAGAAUGCAAAGAAAGCUGUAAAUAUCACAGCUGCUCACUGGCAACUAGGAAAAAAAAAGAGUCAAAUUCAAAGCUUGCCACUUCUAUUCACAGUGAAUGACUUAGGAGUCAAAAGAAGAACAGGGUGUGUACAGUCUGAAGAGAAUAUUGCUGGUAGAAUUCUAAGGAUGCCUCCUAAAACUGGCAAUUGCUCACCAUGUCAGCUGGAAUAAAGUUUGUCACAUUGUAUGUCCAGAUGCAAUAUGGUGAUAUAUGCAAUUUCAGUCACUCUUUCCAAAUUGUGGGCUUUAUCUGAAAUGCUCUCAUACCCCAAACUGUCUGCAUUUUCAUUAAAAGAAUGAAUGUUCCUGUCAUCAUCUUGGUAGGAACGCCAACAGGAAAUAAGCUACCUCUAAAUGAAAAGAUGCAUUUUAUUGUUUGCAAAGCUGGGGAAAUAUGAAUCAAACUUACAACUUGGCUGGCAGGUGGUUUGUUUGGAGUAUGGAAUUAGUGCCUUUGUAGGGGUCUGACAAAUAGCCUGGGGUCUCAGACAAUGCACUGGCAUCCUGGUGGCUGCAUGAUCUUACAGAGAGCAUUAACUUCUCUGUGCCUCAGUUUCUUCAUCAGUAAAACUGUGAUAAUCAUUUUCUGCUGGAGUUUCCAGCUAAUAGGCUUGUUAUGCCCUGCAAAGCACUCAGAGAUCUCCAUCUGGAACAAACUACAGAAGUGCAAGUAUUAUUGCUAUUAGAAGUCCAUUACAGCUCUGUUUUGCUUUGUUCGUACUGGCCCUUUGGUACGUGCAGCUAGACAGCUCCUAAUGUUAUCUUGAUGCACAAAGCACUUUUUGUGUGAGGUUUGACUCACACUAAAAUGCCAGUUAGAAUUUUGUCCUCGGGAACUCACUGGAGCUUGGCUUACAGAAUCUGAAAAUUAAAUCAACCAAAAUAGGUCAAACACAAAACUAUAUGUCCUUAUGUGUCCUCUUGUCCUCUUUAGCAGUAUAGCGCAUAGUUGUUGUUUUCUUAUCUGUAAAGUUUGGGCCUGUUUUGUUCCUCAGCCAGCUUUGCUACUGAUAUCUUGGUUACAUUUUGAAUACCUGCUCUUGAGAAUUUUCUGUUCCCAUUAAAUAUAGUUUAGAAGGACACGCUCAUCUGUUAGUGGUCCAGAAAUAACGUGCUGAAUGCACCAGCAGCUGAUGCGACUGAACGUGAUACAAAAGUGUAUCAUUCUGUUAGAGUUUGUUGGUAGGCAUCAUUAUGGAAAUGUUUUUGAGCCUUAAAAAAGGGAAUAGUGUAUCGGAAAUUGAAUCAAACGUUAACAGAAGCUGCAGUUUGUGGUUUACUUUUCCCUCGCAGCUAGUUCUUUAGGAAUUAUUCCUGUUCACAUAAUCCCUUAAGUUAAUGUAUUUAUUCCGUGCGUGCUUUAUAAUUUCUAUUCAUUCAUAUGUCAAGUAGCUGAAGGUGCUGCUUCAAUUAGUAUUUACUUCAGUGUUAUACUGUUUUGAAUUGGUUGUUUGUUACAGUCACAAUGCAGUGAAUAAACGUGUUAAUAUUUGAAGUGGGAAGGGAGGUAAAAUGGGAAACCGUCUGCUCCAGUCGCGGCCCAGCUUUCUGGUUACAACAUAUUAUAAUUUAUUUAAACCCAAUCAAUACUUAAUCUGGAGUUUAAACUCCGCUAAAGAUCUGUGGCAUAGCUAAAAGCAGCUGAUGCCAAAGAAAAAAAAUUUCUUCAGGCUGUGAUUCUGAUGAAUUUAUAAUGCGCUCUAAGGGUGAUGCAUUGACCUAAAUUCACAGAAGCGCCGCAAUUCGUAUUUAUUAUUGUGAAAGGUGUCCUACCAACACUUUUCUUCUUCUGAAUGUUGAGAGCCUGUGUGAGAAAGAUGGGUGGCUGCAGAGGAAGGAGCUGCACGCACAGCCCGGGAGGGUGGGAUGGGACUGAGCGCGGCCCUGUGCCGCACACCGGGCGGUGAGUCACUGUGACCCCGAGAUUCAAGGCAGGAAUUAAUUCAGCACUGCAAAAAUCUGGCAAAUGUUUGAAGCCAGCAGUGAAAGCAGACUUCCUGAGAGGUGUGUGUUUGUGGUGACAAUUUGGAUUUAUUUUGCUGGCAAUGCAAAAGACAUUGUUACAGCAGGAAGAAGACAGUUGUGUUAAAAACUGCUUCUCUUUUUUAGUUCUCCCCCCCCCAGCCUUUCUGGGGAAAUAGAUUGUGAUCUCUGCGGGGUUUGGUUUUCUCUGUACAGCUCUUUAAACUCCCCCAGGCACAGCCAUCUCAGGGCAGGGCCCACGGGCAGCUCCUACCAGCACUGCAGGGAUGUGCACACACCAUUCUCUUGUAAGGUCUGGGCAACCUCAUAUUUCCCAGCACAUUUUGGCAAGCUUUUACUCAGAGUGGUCCAACAGCUUUUCAUAGUAAGUGAAUGACUUCCCAGUGACCUGAGCCCUCUUCCAAGCCUCCUUUGUCACCCUGACAGCUUGCAGUCAUGCUUUUCUGAUCUUGUGCAAAGCUAUAUGUUUUACCAGAUCUGUAACUGCAGGAGACUUGGUUGUUCUGAAAAUUAACUGGAUGAAUAAGGGAAAUGUAUAGUGGAUAAAGGCUGACAAUCAUCCCCACUUCUUUUAUGAUACAAUGCCCUGCCCUCAUGAGAAGCGAGAAGAGCUCAAUUCUCCCUCCUAAUUGAUAGGUGCAUACUUGUCAGAUGUGGUUUCCCCAGGCAGUCUGUAAGGCAGGACUCACCCCCACACACCGUUCAUCCCCAGUCCCUCACCUGUGUGCUUCUGGGGCAUCACAUCAGACACUCUCCCAGCAUGUGUCUUCUUGCUCUAUUUUGUGCCCGCCUCUGCCCAUAUUGCUGCUGUAGUGGUUUAUGCCAGAAUAAAUAUGGGCUAGCAUAAAUCCUCAGGCUUGGAAGGCAUUAGCCUGCCUUUACUGUAGCACAAUCGACAGCUGUACCUGGCACCACGACCUCAUUGCACCCCAGCGUGGCAGCAUCCAGAGCCUUGAUGCAUUGGAGGAGCAGAGCCACAUGCUUGCUGAGGUUUGUUCCUCUGGGCUGGCCCUGAGGAUGAGAACAGCAUGCAAACACAGCUUCUCAGCAGGAGCAACUAUUAGUUUCAGCUUUAACCUUUACUUAAAAAUAUGAAGCUGCUGAGCAAAAAUGCAAAGGCUUAGUGUUCAAACUCACGCCUAACUCAGAGAGCUGGGUUCCUAGAACCAACUGUGAAUUUCAGUUUAGCAGCAAGGAAGUUUAUGUUCAACUUCAGUUUUUCUUCCAGCUAUAAUGCUCAAAGGGAGUACUUCAGUAUCUGUCUUGCUUUUUGUUAGGGAGAUGAAACAAAACAAAACACCAUUUGUCAUAAUUCUUUGGGAUUGCUAUUAUGGCCAGGAGAAAAGAGGGCUUCUGCUAGUUCAUGUACGAGUCAAAAGAAAGGCAUAUUCCUUUCCCCACAGGAUCCCAAGCGGAAGAGUUGGUGGAUAGGUAAGAUAAAAAUGGGUAUAGAUUGUGAGAGACAGGCUGACAAAAAAAAGUGCGUGCAGUUUUUUCACUAUUCUAGAGCAGUAAUUGUACUUUGCUUACAUACCUAAGCAUGUUUAGGUGGCAAUUUUCUUUCCUUGUAACAGAAGAGGUGACUUUCAAGAGAAUAAUCUGAAGGAGGUUGUGGUGGAUGACUGUUUUCCUUGUUGUUGGUUUUUUUUGUUUGUUUGUUUUGUUUUGUUUCUUUAAAUUCAGAAUGUUUUUUACCAGGUCAACAGGCCAAUUUCUCUCCAUUGUUCACAAAGCUAUUGGGUAUUUUUUUUUUCCUUCCCACUGUGCCUUGAAAAAACAACUUCACUUAAGUUCAUGUGUGAAACCUUUUGCACAACAGAAGUGGUUUCUUGUGGCCAGUAAGAAUAAAUGUUCUGAGCAUUCCAGGAAGCAUAUAAAUAGACUGAUACUCUUCCUAAGGUUAUAGAGCAUUAUUUCUCCCUUUUUUUCUUUAUUUCUCCUCCUGUCCUACUCCCCUACUUUCAGUUACGCUCUCUCCAUCUAGGCAAAGACCAAACAAAGUGCAGUGUUUGAAAAUCCUGACCAUCAUUUUCCAUUUUACUUGGGUUUUUCUCAGUUACAUGUUCUGAAUAGAAAUUGUUCGAGUAAAUGCAGCACAGUAAAUUAUCUUAAAUUACUUCUUAUAGUCCAGACUAGUAUUAUAACAUGAAAAUUGUUACUUGGAGUCUCCCACGCCCCUGGCUGCUGCAGACCUGUGUCUCCAGGCUGGGGAGAAAUGGAUCACAGUACUUAUCCAGCAGAGCCUGCAGGCCAAUCCACAAUGUGGAAAGUGGAGUUCGCAUAAAGGAGGUCUCUUAUCCUUUCCUCUCAAUCCUGCUAGAUAUAGCAAAGCUGUCACAAUGGUCAAAUAUAAUUAAAAUGGUGAUCUGCCACUGAAGGGUAGGCCAAUGUCUAUGCAGAAACCAGAUGAGGAAUUAUUCAAGCCAAAAACAUUAAAUCUCAGCUCAUCCGUGGUUACCAUAAAACAGCCAUCCUGUUCCUUUGAUCUAUGAUGAAUUUGAAUGUGUGUUAAUAAGACAUAUAUGUUGGGCAUCAACAUCAUCUUCUGUUGAACGAAGGUAAACACUGCAUUCGUCUCUGUAAAAUAUACUUCAGUAGUUGGGAAGAAAGUGGAGAUUCAUUAUUUUUGCAGUUGUAGAAGACAUUUAGCAGCUGUGUUUAUACUGGCAGACAAUUUGGAUAUUAGGUGGCAGGACAGAGAACUGCAGAUGCACGAUAUCGUGCAGACAUUGUGCACUUACAGCACAUUUCCAGGGAAACAUGUUAUUUUAUAUUUCCCUUGGUGUCAUUAAUCACGUUUCAUGAUGUAUCUCACUAUUUCAACUCAUUCCCCUAGAUUCAUUCAUUUUUUGGCCUGUUUAUUUAAUAGUUAUUGAGCUCCAUUUCAACAAAUUCCAUCUUAACCACAGAUAAUAAAGUUCCUUUUGCUUCAGGGGAGAAAAUUAAGAUGGCCCUGUACUGAUUUCAGGGACUACCUGUAAUAGUCAGCAUGUCUGCUGCAUCAGAAAGAUACUUUGUUUGCCUUUGGUCAGAAAAAUGUUCAUGCUGUUCUUUGCAACUUAAAAAUUAAACUCAUUUCCUGAAAGUAAAAAUAUGAUUCUUAUCUUGAACUAUAAAGGAAAACAGCUGCACUUUAUUCUGUUCUCGAAGUUCUCUAAUCUCUCUGGAGGCUUUGUUUUGGUUUCACAGGUGAAUCCCUUAAACUGCAGCAGCAAUGAUGGCUCCUCCUUGGCAGAAACAUGCUGAGAAGCAGUUGGGAAUCCCCUGCUCUGGAGCUGCAGCCUGAGGAACCUCAGCGUGUAAGAAGCCUCUCUGAGGCACUCACAUGGUGAUGGUUAUACAUCUCCUGCUUACCCCAACUUAGUGAAAGCUGUCUUCAAGCAAAUAAGACUGGCAGCAAGGCUGGGAGUGCAAUCACCUGCUGGCAUAAUCCCUGGACUCUUCUUAAAGGAAUUCUAAAAAGGGAAACUCAGGAAUGCCUACCUGACUGUCCAGAGAACUGCCAUCCAGAGGAGCAUCCUACAGCAGCACAAGCAUUUCAUCUUCUGGAUUUGUGGAGACAUGUGGGAUUUGUUGAUGCUGAAGGCAGGAGGAAGUCAAGGGAGAAAAAAAGAAUUCUGGGAGGAAACUUGGUAAAACUGAAGAUCCAAAGUGAAACAUCAGGAAACAUCACCAAAAUGAAGCCCGUUGGAUGUUUGCAGCUGUUUCUUUAGUCCUGAUUAACAGGGAUUUUCUGAGAAGAGCUGCACAAGUGCAGUCCCCAUUCAACGUACAGAUUUUCCAGAGUGAUCUCCAAGUUGUAAUGGACAACCUCUUUCCUGCCAGCAGAGCCCAGAGAGGAAUAAACCAAGACCACCAGCUAAGUCAUUGUGUAAUGUGCUGUGGAUAUGAGCAUCGAAUGCCCUCAGUGGCAAUGACUCAGGACCAAAUCAUCCUUUUGCGGGAAUUACCUACGAAGGAAACUGGACGCUCCAUGGCAUCUGUGUCAUCCUUCCCUCCAGAUGGUGCCUCCAAAUCUGUUCUGAAAUGGCAUGUGCAAAGCAAACCCAGAGUGCCUAUCAUUCAGCCCUCUGAUGGCAACUCUCAGACAACUCGGGGACAGACAGAACACAAAACCAGAAAUAAGGACUUGCAACCGUGGCUGAAGAUGCCCAGAGAGUCGUGUAUGUAACAGCCAGCGAGAGGCAGAUGACAGCAACAAGAAAUUUCACAGCUCCAAAGAGUGAACGUACCACGGAUUAGUACCGGAGACAGAAAUACUUCUAUGAAAACCAUGAAGGAAGUUCCGGAAUCUAGAGUAACUCUCGGAUGCACAGAACUGGAGACUUAAAAGAUCCUCAGUUCCCCCAGGACCUGAGCAUGUAGAAACGUGGGGGCCUGGCUGUCCUUCUGGUCUGCACGCGUGGCCUCAAGCCCGAAUCCCUACAACAGCAUCUCCACUGGCAGCAAAGCGCUUCUUUGCCCUUUACCACUGAACUGCUGUGGCUUGAUUGUGUGAAACUGAGUUUCAGGAUGCAAGAUACUGUUCAGAUAGUUCUGCAAUACAUUCUUCAGACCCAGCAGCUUUGGCAGGCCCGUGGAUGAUGGAAUAACCAGAUCUCUGCGGCCACCCCUGAAAAACAGAUUCUUUCUUCUGGAUUCCCUGGGAUUCUCUCAGCAGCCAGCCUUGUUUACAGAAGUCAGCGCGGACAGUAACAGCCCUUCACCAAUGAGCCACAGUGGACCCUUUGGGGAAGGCUCCUCACGGUGCUCUGUCAUCUGCUGACAAAGUGGUGCCAGGACCAGAACUUCACAAUGAACUCUGCGGAGAAAAAUCCACAGCAGAUGAAGGAAUCUCGAAGUCAGUGACAGGUAGACUCAGGCUUAAAGUGAGAGGAUCCCCCACGUCACUGGUUUCAACUAGAGGAUACGUCUGUGCUAUGAGAAUACUCAGUAUGAGAAACGUGCUGCGAAACAGAGGCAGCCAGUUGGAGCAGUGCUUCAGACUAAGCUGAGGUCAGUUUUAGAAUCACAGAACACUUCAGGCUGGACAGGAACUCUUGAUGUCACCUCAAUCCACGCCCUGCUCAAAGAAGGUCUCACUACGUCAGAUCGCUCAAGGCUGCAGCCAGUCAAGUUGAACCCUCAAAUGGGGAGCCUCUGCUGAAUGCUGGUUACUGCAAGAUUCUUAGUAGUGCUAAAAUCUGAACGGAAUCUGGCCUUUGCUCUUUCAUGUACAGCAUUUGAUUAACUGUGAUUCCAAAAGGUUCAGGCACCCAAGUAUGUGCUUAUGUGAGUGGGAGUACAACGUACCUACGCCUACCUACGUGUGCUUACCUACAGACAUUUUUAUUUUCAAUGUUCUGAUUCCAGCGGCCUUUUCAAGAGACAAAAGAAAGUUAAAAAUAAAAUUAGAGCCUAAAAACAAUGGAUUUGCAGUAGCCAGCACAAUGCCAGUCUGCACUGUUGCGAAAGACCUGUGCAUAAACAUUCAUAGGGAUGAAUUCAGAGGUGAUGGGCGACACAGACUGAGGAAAAGGAGCCCAGAGAGUAGGUAAUAAUAAAGAAAAUCAUGAAAAGAGGAAACAGAGAAGGAAAAGCAGCUAAGUGAAAGGUAUGUAACACCUAAUCUAAAGCACAUUUCUCUCUCCUUCAGCGCACACAAAACUUUUACCGGUUCCUUUUUAUGGUUAUUGAAUGCCUACAUUACCUGAAAGUGGAAUUUAUUGAGCUGAGUGUUAAACUCUAAGUUUUACAAAUAAGCUUCCGUACAAAAAUAUUUAUUAUCUGUAACGUACAUCAUCAGCUCUUACACUCCCACUGCGUUCAUCCAUUGUCUCCCAAUACAGUUACCGUGAACGUAUGUCAGAAUAUACGUCAGCCUCAGAAAUACACACUUGUACUGCAGUGACUAUUUUCUAUUCCUUAUUUCUUUGCCUCUAUUUUAAACAACGGAUGUGUACGUUUGCUUAGAACCUAGCUUCUGAAACAGAAGGACAAAAUUACUGGUUCUGACAGCUGUGAAAACAUUUCCAUAAUACAGAAAAUCUAAAUGCCUCUUCAUUCAAUCACUUUCUCAAUGAAAACAUCCCAGGAUUAAAGAAAUCCAGGGAAAGAGAAAAGAUUAACCUAGAAAAGGCAAAUAAGCAAGUGAAUAAAGCUGGGUUUAUUGCUUCCUGCUUCAACAAUGUCCAACAAGAUCUGGGCCAUGGUGCCACAGCUUUCACACGCGUGUGCAGUGGACACAGCUCCCCUGCAUGCAAACAAUGCACCAGCUUGCGUGAAGUGAAUUGGGGCCAGCACAAUUGUUUGAAGGAGGAGGGAUGCACAGUCACUGGAAGCACAGAAGCGCCUUUUCUCUCUGGUUUCAUGCAGCUGACAUACCGAGCAGAGGAGCCAGAGAGAACAUGUAAUGGAAAUAAAUGACUUUGCAGACCCAACGGAAGGAGGUGGGAGCGAAAAAGCAUCCUCACCCCCUGCCCGGCGGCUGCGUAAAUCUGUCCCUGCCAGGAGAGCUCCGGGAGGUGCUCAGCGGCCGCCUCCCCAGGAGUCAGUGAGAGUUCAGGUGCUUACUGUGUCAUCAGGCUUGACCUUCACAUGCGACACUGCCAGGACGUUUGUUUUCCCACAGCAGUGAUUGCUUCAGUCAAUUAUUAUUGCCCAUCGUAGAGUGCAAACACAUAAGGGCUUGAUUUACAGUGCAAAAAUAUACAUCCUGAAUUUACUUCCUCUUUUGUUUUUGGACUGUCAUAGCAUCUCCACCUUAAAGAGAUGACAGCAAAUUACUUCAUAGGUAAAUAUAUGUAUGUAUAGGGAAGGAUAAAUAGCAGUCAUUCGGGUCAUUGUGAGAUGAACGUUCAGUAUAGCUUCAGAUCGGCUGUGUCAGACGUGACAAUAUAUUUUAAGCUUUUUGUUUUAAAAUUUUCAUUUUUUCUGCUUUUCUUUGAAGAAAUCAUCAUUCGCAAAUUUUGCAAGUUGGCAAUCUAACCUCUAAAUCCAUUCUAACGCAGAUUUAAGAUUGUGCAUUCAGUUCCUUAAGCAAUGUUUAGGUAUUACCAAUAUACUGAAAGAUAGAUGAGACAGCCUCAUGGUAAUACAGCUUUUAACCUUUCCUCUCCUCUACCAUGACGGGGGAGAAUUACAGUAAAUGAUGGUUACCUUGUCUGCAGUAUGGACAAUUGAUUUGACCUCACUGCAUCUGAUGCUCUAAUGGACUUUGUGGCUGAAUCCCUGGAGAUAUAAAAUAUGUCCAAGUGAAUUGGGGCAGGUUAAAGAACGGACCUGCUUUUCAUGGCUGGCUCAAGCUAUAAUAGAUCUCCCGGUUGUUCUGAGAAGAAGAUUAAAAAUGAUCAAUAUCCAAAUCAUUAAAAAAAAAAAGCGGUGGCUUCUGUAAAUCUACCAUAGGUGGGUUUUUUUCCUGCUAAACGCCGGAGGGGGGUGUCUGGGUUGAUAACGUGAGUUUCCAUAACAAAUGUUUACUUCUGUUUACUCUCUAGUAACAUGUUCCUUUUUAUAUUAAGACUCAGACACACAGAUGGCGUGAUUCAGCACUGCUUUCCUGAAGUCAUGCUUGUUUACACCAUGAAGAGUCAGGCCUUAGGUUUAUUUAAUAUAGAUAAAAUAACAAUACUAUAAUAUUUCCUGAAGCAGAAAAUAAAAUCAAGGACAGAUUUCAGAGAAUGAUGGCAACUGCGAUAACUGUGAACAUCCUCACAGUUCUGCUAGCCACAGUGUCUAAGACAAAAAUAAAGGUUUAAUUUAGUGAGGAAAAAAGAAAAAAAAGAUUUUCCUUGGCUGCUCUGAGUCCUUCAUUUGGCAAAGUGCAAUUGAACAUCUUGUUUAUCCUUUCCCACCCUCUCACGAACAUCUCUGCUCUUUUCUCACCAGCACACAACUGAGCUCAAGGUGAGUGUAAGUCUGUCCAGCCCCUGGAGGUGCCAGGAGAAAAGCUUUCACAGCCCACAGCUGGGAGCUCACCCACAGACCUUCCUCUCUACAUACAGCAGCAAUGGGGCAGGCAACUUCAGUGGGCUUAUACGUAUGCACAUGCUUAGCUUCCUGUAAAACCCAUGCAUUAAGGAGACAGAUGCACAGCUGUUCCAUCUGAGGCAUGCAUGUAUUGGUUUCUGCACUUAUUCAGUAAACUUGAAAUGCAGAGGAGCCCAAAUCUCUGUUCUGAACAGUUUGAGGUUGUUUGGAUCUGACAUCUCUGUGCGUUCACUGACAGAAAUAAGCUAAUUAUGAACCUGAGUUGGAAGAGGGAUGCCCUUUUUCUGAGUUUUGAGAAGUGUCUGGGCAGAGUAAUUGGACUGCCCUAUCUCAACUGCGUUACAGCAAUCGAGCAAAUGCGAAAAGUCUUCCUUAGAAAGGAAGAAAUAUGUGUUUUUAAGUGCUAGGACAAUUCCACGUAACAUCACGGUUUGCAUCUAUACCCACAGUACGCAGAGAUUCAUGCAGAUGUCCAACAAAUUGAAAAGGCUUCAAAUAUAUUUUAUCUAGUUGUAUGUUUAACAGUAUUUACCUUUUGCCUUUCACAGGUUGCUUUAAAAUCUGACUAUGUAAUAACAUCCUCUGAAUGAUUUAAUUUAAGCUAACGUGCUAUCCCUUUAUGUAAAAAGUAAAGGUAUUUUGAAAGCCCUUGCUGAAUACUCUGAGGUUGCCUCUACUGUGUGGCUAGCACUGGGCUGAAUGCCUAGCAUCCGUGCGUAGAAGAGGGAACAACUGCUGCCCCUCCGAUCUGGCUAUUCUUGUAUCUGGAAACAUUGUCAGGUGCUACAAGCAUCACGCCAUCUGAAAGGCCAAAGUUGAGUACUACGUUAUUGGAGUAGAUGACACCUUAUUCUUAUUCUUCAACAAUUCUAACAACUUAGAGUCCCUCACUGUCCCUUUAUGAACACAGAUGUCAUUCUGAGGGGGGGGACAGCCAAAAUGACAAGAAGGUGACCUGUCGGUGAACUCAGGAGCAGGUGAGGCCUGUCAGCUUCUAAUUUGAAACUGGUGUCAGUCCUGAGGAAUGGCUGGUAUAAUCACAUUUGUAACUGAUAUCCUAUAAACGCUGCAAACAUUCACAGUGCGCCUGUUAUGAGUAAUAUGAAAUUAACAAUUCGUGUUUAUGACACAAGACACCGACCGAAUCAAGCAGGUCUCCGUAACUGGAUCAGCUCCGUCUGUCUGCCAGAGCAGCGCAUCGAACUGCUUCAACCAAAGCCAAAUUACUGUGUGCUUAUGUUACAAUAGGCAUUGUAUUUAUUUUGAAGACAAACUUUUGUAACUAGGCGUAAAGUGAGGACCUCAGAACCAGCUUCUCGCUCAAGUUAUUGCAUAUAAAACUUCUCUUGCUCGAGCCCAGCCAUUAAGAUGUUCGUGACUUUUAAGUUAAGAGUUUGGGACCUAACAAAUCACGUGUUGUAUCUCACAUUUUCUGAAUAACUGAAGGGAAGGCUCUGUGUAAAUCUUCUCUCUCAGACACAUAAAUUACCAGCUGCGUGAAUACUGCCAUUAAGACAAGCAGACAAGUGCGAGGGGUGGGGACAGGGCAGGAUGCCCCAAAGAGGUGGAGUUACAGAGAAAACAAGGCAUUUGCUUACUGAGUAAUUUAUGCUUCAUCUGCCUUCACUGUAGCUCAGUAAGAAUGAACACCAUGAGGCAGUCUGUCAGGCGCUCUCACUUCACUACCGCCAAGGCAUUUUUCUGCAAAUUAGGUAUUUGCUUCCUAUUUCUAGUCACUUCCACCUGGAUUUUUUAUUAGGAAAAGUCAAAAUCAUAGUAUCUGAAGCUAAGAUUUGAAUUGAAGUUACACUAAAAGAUAAACUGUUGCUCAAGUACAUUUCACAUUUGAAGACAGCAAAAUCUCACAAUCCUUUGCACAAUUAUUUCCAGUCCAAACUGACAGAAGCUCUAAAGUUCGGGUCCUUUCCUGCCUGCACUGCUGCUGAGCCUGGUGCAUAGAUUAGAAGUUCCUUUCCAAUAACAAGCAAAAUAAAAGAAGAACCAUACGAAGAAUCUAUUGCAAUUGUUACACUGGAAUUUAGUUAGCAGAGCUACAAAAACACAAGUCCAAAUCCCAAGUAGCUAGUGGAGAUUUCUGAACAGUUCUGUACACCUUCACGUAGACAAUCCAGUGGAGCUAACAACCUACUGUAGCACUCUUUUGUGAUAGGCAAAUACCAUUCAUUUCCAUUUUCCACAGAAGAACUGCACUCCACAGAGCUUCAGCAAUGUAAACAAGGCCAGGUACAGCAUUACAGCUGUGGUUCAGGCAACAACAUUCCUCGUCCUCUGACACAACACUUACACAUCAUACUUGUAACACUACCUAGUUCAAGUUGGUGGUCAAUACCACCUAAUUAGCAGAGUAAAAGUGCAAUUUUGAAACCAACUUACAAAACUGCUACAACCAACCUACAAAACUCCAUCAUACCAAAGAAAAAUUAUGGCUCUAAAUUUCACAAUCACUCUCUGCCAACCAAAAACUCACCUUUAAGAAGAGUCAGGGCUGAAAGCUGAAAGUUGAGGCAGUCAUCUCUCAACGUGUAGAACUCCUCACGUUGCUAUGAAGGUACAGCACGGUUGUUCAGUGUUUGGAUAAAGUACUGCAUGGGAACUGUUGAAUCACAGCCUGAACCACCAAUUGAUCACCUGAGGCAAGGACUGAAUCAGCUGUGGGAGCACAGGUGAAAGCAAUUCAGCUAUGUGACCAGAAGCUGUGUGACCACAUUCCACCCCUCCCAGACCCCAUUUAAGGGCUGACUAACACUGGGGAAGAAUCUCCUUGUGGUGAUCCCUCCUUUGUGGAGCUUUUCAGUGUGAGCCUAAAUCUUUGCAUACAGGUGAGCAGUUCUUCUCUGUUUGUUCCUUUGCUAUCUCACUGCAGUACUCUUUCCAACUGUGCUUUGUAGACUAUACAACUACUUUGGUGGCUACUCAGAGAUUUUUUAGGAACUGAUAACAUAUGUUUUAAUUUUCCUCCUACUUGCACAGGUAUAAUUAUAUUAAUUCCCCACAUAGUUUAUGAGAAGAGCCUGCCCUGUGGAACAAGACCCAGCACAGCAGCAGGUUCCUGCAGCACCAGGUCAGCUCCAGAGGCUGAUAUCAGCAGCACCACCUCACAUAGCUCCUAGAGCUGGUAGGGUGCAGUGCCUCAGCUGGAUUGCUGCUGUAGCUUACCUGCAGGAGCCUUCUGCAUCACUGGUCAUAUAAAAUGCUCCUCUGCCAACAGAUGGAUUGCUUAUCAUUUUGAUUACUGGCUGUAAAUGUUCGUUAUUUUUUCAUUUCCUAGCUAAGCAAGCUUAUGUGUGUAUACAUUUUCUACAGUUUUCAUUAGAGUAACACUAAGACCUGGCAUAAGGCCAGGAGAGAGAAACUUAGAAUUAUUGAUUAAAAAAUACUCUUAGUUUCUUCCAGACCUUCAUUGUGACCCUCAUACUCCUGACGUUAAGGAGCAGCUGGCACCCCUCAGCUCAGCCCAUUACCUCUAGGGCUCCCCUGAGCACCUUGCACCCACCUGGCAGUGCUGUAGAAAGGAGGCUGUAGUGGGUGAUGCUGAGCUUCUGCUCCCAGUGCUGGGCCCAUGUGAGGCUGCUAGAAAACCAAAAGAAAACAUGGAGGGGGGGGGGGGGGGGGGGAAGCCCACAAAAAAAAAACCACCGUGAUCUGUUCUCGAAGGUGGAAAGUGGAAGAAUAAGACAAAAGCCUCUGUGGUCAGAGUAGACAUCUCUUAAGAUCUUGAGAAAAUUCCCCAUACAUAGAAAGAAGCAGCAGAGCACAUCUGUUUUCAUGACAUAGUUUGGUAAUAUCUUGAGCACUGCACUUCCUCUUGACCUCACAGCACCGCUUUCUGUUCAUACAAUUAAUACGGGGAAGCCACCAUUCCCACCAACUUUCAUUUUGAAGAUAAACAAAAUCACUCCUUUCAGGGUAAUCUUGAAGAAAUGAACUGCAGCAAAUCUACAACCAGGCAUACCCAGUGAAGAGAUGUUGGAGGGAAAAUGGGGAUAUAAAUGUAUGGCCCAAUUCUAAUUUUAUUCAUUUCUAGUACAUUGGGGUAGGCAGAAUUGGAGUAGGAAAAAAAGGAAGUUUGACUUCUGGGGUUGUCUUUCUAUAUCAUGCUGAAUGGAGAGCAACACAGCACAUAAGCUCACUGGGUGGGAGAUGGGACUUGAACAUGAGGUAUUUCUCUAAGCAGCUUGAAUCAAGGGCUUAAGCACGAGCAGCCUGUAUCUCAUCCAGCUCCUGUAACUGCUAUCUUGUGGGGAUCUUAUCCCAGACUUCAUGAAUAUUUAGCGAGGCUUCCAAAAUAAAUUGGCACUCUCAGUAUACACUGAGACCAUGAACCAAUGAUUGGGAAACUAGUCUGGUUCAAAUCCUUGCUCUGCUCCGUUCCCUCGCAGGUGUAGUGACAAGUUCAUAAAUAACAGCUCUUUGCUGACUGUAGGGCUCCCAUACACGAGUGCCCUAAUCAGUGAAGAAUUUUUUUUCCCCUCUAUACAGCAGUUCCAUCUGCUUCAGAAAGUUUCCCCUCAAAACCAAUGCAUUUACAAGAGUUAAUGGAGACGCUCCAAACAGAGGAUUAAGUGGAAAGCAGAGUUUUGCAGCAACCUGAGAUAUUAAAAGGAAAACCAACUGACAGAGCAGAAAAAAGACAGCCAACUUACGGCAACGCGGCAGUAUUUUCCACCAAAAAGUCGCCGUUAAAUCCCCCGCAAUUACUCACAGGAGUCCAUCCCUGGCUUCCUCAUACUUUCAUUUGAAUGGCAUUUGGAUUCUGCCUGUCAUUGUGAAGUAGACUGGAAAAGAGUACUGUCAACACAGAUGAAGACUCAGUGUGAAUAAAAUUAAAAUAAUUAAGUUCUGUUCAACAUCAGUUUGGCCCUGCUUGAGUUGCCAGGACUCCGUACACAAUUUGGGAUGGGGGUUGGGUUUUUUUUUCGUUGACUGUGGUUUCCUUGGUUGGAAUGCUAUGUCUAAGACCACCAUCCAGGAGAAUGAAGGUCUUCCACCCAAGGGCAACAUCUGUUAUCUACACAUUUGGAUAUUGUGUCCAAAACAGGAGAUAUCAGCUUUGGAGGAACGCGAUUUCAGAGUAUGAAGCAGUUCCAAAGACCACUUGGACUUGAUCUCCAAAUGCCUGAGAUAGAUACAAGCCUUGAAAGUGACCCUCGACACCCUGGGAUCUUCUGUGUAAAAGGCUGAAGCACCCAGGGGGUGUAUCCUUGACUGUGCUGCUGAGUCAAUUAAUUACAGUGCUCGAAAUAAAAUGAAGCUUUGGUUAAGGUAGGAAAAGAGAAAAUAGUACUAAGGUUAACAGUUUGUGAACGUAUAUGUUAAAUAUAUGCAUGUCCCUAUACAGCAGGAAAAGAAAAGGAGUUGGAGGAGAGCAAUUCUAUAUCCUAGUGCCUGUUAUCUGGGCAGAGCAAGGAACUGAGGAGACAUACCCAGGAGCAGCCCACGGCUCUGCAGCGUUGCUCACGCCGAUACCCUACUGCAGCCCAGCAGGGUGCCAAGGAGCUGCUGUGGGAACUGGCUGGAGCAACAACAGAGCCCAGCCAGCUCCCUCCCAUUGACAGCAAGCUCAGCAAAGCAUUGAAGCUGGCUGAACUUACACCUUGGGAUGGUUCAGUGUCACCUGCUCAGAAACAAGGAGCAGCUUUGCUAGACCGUCCCAGCAGCACAGAAGUGCCAUCUGGACCUGGGAGAAGUGUGAAUCUUGUCUCAACUACAGAUGAUCCUAGCACUGUGCAAGCAAACACCCUUAAGGAAAGAGUGCAAUAUGAAUUUGGGUGUAACCAAGCUAUGGUGAGGUCCCCUCCAAAGGAGCAAGAUUAAAUAUGGCUGUAUGAGCCAGCACUAAUCUACUGAGAAGUGGGCAUGCUGGACCAUAGGCAGCCAGCAGUUCGCAGCACAUUGGGGUGCUCCCAUGGCCUGCAGAGAAGAGGGCUACAUGAGACAAGUGUCCCCCUCCAGAGCUUCAAAUGGACCUGAAGCUCCAUGCUUCUCCCCGUGGGAACAAGCUCAAUUUUGUGCUUUGGUCUAAAGAGAGAUCAAGAAGCACUACCAGAACCAGAGCCAGAAAGGAAUGGGUAAUGGGUCUCCUGCCUUCAAUAGAUCACGACUUCUGAUGCUGUAAUUCAUUGCAGUCUACUCUGUGUUAUAGAGAAAAACCUUAUGGUUCAAGUGAAAGAGGUUGAAAAGAAAUCAGCGUUAAAAAACAUGAACAUGAAUUUUAAAUUCUAUUUUUACAAAAUAUCAUCUAUCAUUAAAAGCUAUCAUUAAAUCAUAGCAGGAACCUAAGAGAGCUUUCAUUUAAUGUAACAAAGAGACGUAAGGAGACAGACAGAUAGCACAGUGCUUCCAAUAAGAGCAAAUUUUAC
ensembl:lncRNA